GCAAGUCGAGCGGUAACAUUUCUAGCUUGCUAGGAGAUGACGAGCGGCGGACGGGUGAGUAAUGCUUGGGAAUAUGCCUUAUGGUGGGGGACAACAGUUGGAAACGACUGCUAAUACCGCAUAACGUCUACGGACCAAAGGGGGGGAUCUUCGGACCUCUCGCCAUUUGAUUAGCCCAAGUGAGAUUAGCUAGUUGGUGAGGUAAGAGCUCACCAAGGCGACGAUCAGUAGCCGGCCUGAGAGGGUGAAC
rnacentral:rRNA from 1 species